rnacentral:rRNA from 1 species
GACGAACGCUGGCGGCGUGCUUAACACAUGCAAGUCGAACGGAGUGGCGAACGGGUGAGUAACACGUGGGUGAUCUGCCUUGCACUUCGGGAUAAGCUUGGGAAACUGGGUCUAAUACCGGAUUUUGCAAGAUGUGCUCGCGGCCUAUCAGCUUUUUGGUUGGGUAAUGGCCUACCACGGCGUCGACGGGUAGCCGGCCUGUGAGGGUGUACGGCCACAUGGGGACUGAGGUACGGGCCAGAGGCCUACGGGAGGCAGCAGUGGGGAAUAUUGCGCAAUGGGCGGAAGCCUGAUGCAGAGACGCCGCGUGGGGGAUGAAGGCCUUCGGGUUGUAAACUCCUUUCGACAGGGACGCGGUACCUGUAUAAGAAGCACCGGCUAACUACGUGCCAGCAGCCGCGGUAAUUC